GUUCUGGUAGAGGUCCUAGUGGAGGUCCUGGUAAAAGCCUAGGUAAAGGUCCUGGUGAAGGCCCAGGUAAAGGUCCUAGUGGAGGUCCUGGUAAAAGCCUAGGUAGAGGUCCUAGUGGAGGUCCUGGUAGAGGUUCUGGUAGAGGUUCUGGUAAAGGCCCAGGUAGGGGUCCAGGUGGAGGUCCUGGUAAAGGCCCAGGUAUAGGUCCUGGUGGAGGUUCU